rnacentral:rRNA from 1 species
GACGAACGCUGGCGGCGUGCUUAACACAUGCAAGUCGAGCGGAAAGGCCCGCAUCAUUUUUUUGGUGGGGGUGCUCGAGUGGCGAACGGGUGAGUAACACGUGGGUGAUCUGCCCUGUACUUCGGGAUAAGCUUGGGAAACUGGGUCUAAUACCGGAUAGGACCAUGGUUUAGUGUCACAUGGUGGAAAAAUUAUUGUUUUGGUGCAGGAUGAGCUCGCGGCCUAUCAGCUUGUUGGUGGGGUAAUGGCCUACCAAGGCGUCGACGGGUAGCCGGCCUGAGAGGGUGGACGGCCACAUUGGGACUGAGAUACGGCCCAGACUCCUACGGGAGGCAGCAGUGGGGAAUAUUGCACAAUGGGCGCAAGCCUGAUGCAGCGACGCCGCGUGGGGGAUGACGGCCUUCGGGUUGUAAACUCCUUUCGUUAGGGACGAAGCCACACUUUUUUUGGGUGUGGUGACGGUACCUUUGUUAAGAAGCACCGGCUAACUACGUGCCAGCAGCCGCGGUAAUACGUAGGGUGCGAGCGUUGUCCGGAAUUACUGGGCGUAAAGAGCUCGUAGGUGGUUUGUUGCGUCGUCUGUGAAAUUCCGGGGCUUAACUUCGGGGUGGCAGGCGAUACGGGCAUAACUAGAGUGCUGUAGGGGAGACUGGAAUUCCUGGUGUAGCGGUGGAAUGCGCAGAUAUCAGGAGGAACACCGAUGGCGAAGGCAGGUCUCUGGGCAGUAACUGACGCUGAGGAGCGAAAGCAUGGGGAGCGAACAGGAUUAGAUACCCUGGUAGUCCAUGCUGUAAACGGUGGGCGUUAGGUGUGGGGACCGGUUUGGUUUCUGUGCCGUAGCUAACGCAUUAAGCGCCCCGCCUGGGGAGUACGGCCGCAAGGCUAAAACUCAAAGGAAUUGACGGGGGCCCGCACAAGCGGCGGAGCAUGUGGAUUAAUUCGAUGCAACGCGAAGAACCUUACCUGGGUUUGACAUGCACCAGACGGUUGUAGAGAUACGUACCUCCCUUUGUGGUUGGUGUGCAGGUGGUGCAUGGUUGUCGUCAGCUCGUGUCGUGAGAUGUUGGGUUAAGUCCCGCAACGAGCGCAACCCUUGUCUUAUGUUGCCAGCACUUUGGGUGGGGACUCAUGAGAGACUGCCGGGGUUAACUCGGAGGAAGGUGGGGAUGACGUCAAAUCAUCAUGCCCUUUAUGCCCAGGGCUUCACACAUGCUACAAUGGUUAGUACAACGCGCUGCGAGCCUGUGAGGGUGAGCGAAUCGCUGAAAGCUAAUCUCAGUUCGGAUUGGGGUCUGCAACUCGACCCCAUGAAGUCGGAGUCGCUAGUAAUCGCAGAUCAGCAAUGCUGCGGUGAAUACGUUCCCGGGCCU